UUUAAUUACAUACAGGAGGCUCCUGUAGGGUCUAGCAAGCUAUUAACCGAGCAGGAGAUGAGAAAUUCUAUGUUAAACAGAAUUUAAAAUAAAGGAAGUAUAAACAUUAGCUGACUUUACAGGAAGUGUUUAGGGAGGCUGUGCAAGUCACAUGCAGAGAGGGGUGUCUAGGGUUGUAUAAACAAAGUGAUUUAACUCCUAAAUGGCCAAGAAUUGAGGAGUGAGAAUGCAGGGGCAUGAUCUAUACAGCAAAACAGCAUCAUUAAGCUAGAGUGUCCCUUUAAGGCAGAAGUUCCCAAAAUGCAGAACUGCAAUUCCAAUUAUAGUCUGACAGCCUUAUUGCUCAACUUGGGGCUAAUCCUGAGGAUAUUGAUAAAAAAAAAAAAAAAAAGUGGGAGAUCACGCAUACAUGAAGACUUGCUUAGUGAAUAAAAAAGGUUAACGCCAUAGCUCUCCAAUUUUGGAUCACUGGACUUGACACCUAUAAUGUGAAUGAAUAAUGCAGAUUGAACGUGAAAUGGAAAUUCAUCUAGUCUACGGCUAAGGAGCUGUAUUUGAGUCUUGGGAAAUCUUAAAAUUUUUAUAAAACCACAC